UACGUAGGGUGCGAGCGUUGUCCGGAAUUAUUGGGCGUAAAGAGCUCGUAGGCGGUUUGUUGCGUCUAUCGUGAAAACCUGCAGCUUAACUGUGGGCUUGCGGUGGAUACGGGCAGACUUGAGUUCGGUAGGGGAGACUGGAAUUCCUGGUGUAGCGGUGAAAUGCGCAGAUAUCAGGAGGAACACCGGUGGCGAAGGCGGCUUGCUAGGCCGCAACUGACACUGAGGGACGAAAGCUAGGGGAGCGAAUGGG
rnacentral:rRNA from 1 species